rnacentral:rRNA from 1 species
CCUACGGGUGGCAGCAGUAAGGAAUAUUGGUCAAUGGGCGCGACCCUGAACCAGCCACGUAGCGUGAAGGAUGACUGCCCUACGAGUUUUAACCUUCUUUUAUAGAGAAGUUUAGUGAGGCACGUAUGCCUUUUUGUAUGUACUUUAUGGAUAAGGAUCGGCUAACUCCGUGCCAGCAGCCACGGUAAUACGGAGGAUCCGAGCGUUAUCCGGAUUUAUUGGGUUUAAUGGGUGCGUAGGCGGGUUAUCAAGUCAGCGGUAAAAUCGUGGAGCUAAACUCCAUCCAGCCGUUGAAACUGAUGCUCUUGAGUGGGCGAGAAGUAGGUGGAAUGCGUGGUGUAGCGGUGAAAUGCAUAGAUAUCAAGCAGAACUCAGAUUGCGAAGGCAGCAUACCGGAGCCCGACUGACGCUGAAGCACGAAAGCGUGGGGAGCGAACAGGAUUAGAUACCCGAGUAGUC